rnacentral:rRNA from 1 species
UCCGUAGGUGAACCUGCGGAAGGAUCAUUACUGAAUUGUCAACAAGGGUUGUUGCUGGUCCUCAAAUGGGGACAUGUGCACACUCUGUUCACACAUCCACUCACACCCUGUGCACCCUCCGUAGUUCUAUGGUCAGGGGGCCUGUCCUCCUGCUGUGGUUCUGCGUCUUUACACACACACUGUAACAAAGUUUCAUGGAAUGCAUGCCGCGUUUAACGCAAUACAAUACAACUUUCAGCAACGGAUCUCUUGGCUCUCGCAUCGAUGAAGAACGCAGCGAAAUGCGAUAAGUAAUGUGAAUUGCAGAAUUCAGUGAAUCAUCGAAUCUUUGAACGCACCUUGCGCCCUUUGGACAUUCCGAAGGGCAUGCCUGUUUGAGUAUCAUGAACACCUCAACUCUUCAUGGUUUUCCAUGAUGAGCUUGGACUUUGGGGGGGUUUUGCUGGCCUCUGAAGUCAGCUCCUCUAAAAUAAAUCAGCUUGCCAGUGUUUGGUGGGUAUCGCAGGUGUGAUAACUAUCUAUGCUUGUGGUUUUCCACCAGGUAACCUUCAGCAGUGGAGGUUCACUGGAGGCUCACAGAUGUCUCUCCUCAGUGAGGACAGCCCUUUGAAUGUUUGAUCUCAAAUCAGGUAGGACUACCCGCUGAACUUAAGCAUAUCAAUAAGCGGAGGA